ensembl:lncRNA
AUGCCCAGAAAGAGUAGCACAGAUGCAAUUUUUGCAUUGAGAUUGUUGGUAGAGAAGUACAGAGAAGCUCAGAAGGAGCUACAUUGUGUCUUUGUGGAUCUAGAGAAGGCAUAUGAUAGGGUGCCAAGAGAGGAACUGUGGUACUGUAUGAGGAAGUCAGGUGUAGCUCAAAAGUAUGUUAGGGUGGUGCAGGACAUGUAUGAGGAUAGUGAGACAGUGGUGUGGUGUGCAGUUGGAGUGACAAAUGGUUUCAAGGUGAAGGUAGGGUUACAUCAGGGAUCAGCUUUGAGCCCCUUCUUGUUUGCAAUGGUGAGGGAAAGGUUGACAGAUGAGGUCAGGCAGGAGGCUCCAUGGACCAUGAUGUUUGCAGAUGACAUUGUAAUCUGUGGUGAGAGUAGAGAGCAGGUGAUAGAGAAUCUGGAGAGGUGGAGGUUUGCACUGGAGAGGAGAGGAAUGAAGGUCAGUAGAGACAAGAUGGAGUACAUGUGUGUGAAUGAGAGGGAGGCAGGUGGAAAGGUGAAGAUGCAAGGAGUAGAGGUCGUAAAGGUGGAUGACUUCAAAUAUCUUGGGUCAACCAUCCAGAGCAAUGGACAGUGUAGAAAAGAGGUGAAGAAGAGGGUGCAGGCAGGAUGGAGUGGGUGGAGACGGGUGUCAGGGCUGAUGUGUGACAGAAGGAUAGCAGCAAGAGUGAAAGGGAAGGUUUACAAGACAGUAGUGUGUCCUGCUAUGAUGUAUGGUUUGGAGACUGUGGCUCUGUCUAAAAGACAGGAGGCUGAGCUGGAGGUGGCGGAGAUGAAGAUGCUGAGAUUUUCGUUGGGAGUGACAAGGAUGGACAAAAUUAGAAAUGAGCAGAUCAGAGGGACAGUGAAGGUGGAGCAGUUUGGAGAUAAAGCCAGAGAGGCCAGGUUGAGAUCGUUUGGACAUGUGUUGAGGAGGAAUAGUGGAUAUAUUGGUCAAAGAAUGUUGGAGAUGGAGCUGCCGGGUAGAAGGAGAAGAGGUAGACCUCAGAGAAGGUUUAUGGAUGUAGUGAAGGUGGACAUGGAGAUGGUUGGUGUGAAAGUUGAUGGGAGGAGGCAAUGGAUAGGGCAAGAUGGAGGCAGAUGA